rnacentral:rRNA from 1 species
GGACUACCCGGGUUUCUAAUCCUGUUUGCUCCCCACGCUUUCGCGCCUCAGCGUCAGUGUCGGUCCAGAGAGCCGCCUUCGCCACCGGUGUUCUUCCCAAUAUCUACGAAUUUCACCUCUACACUGGGAAUUCCACUCUCCUCUCCCGAUCUCUAGCCAUCCCGUUUCAAGCGCAGUUCCCAGGUUAAGCCCGGGGCUUUCACGCCUGACAAACAUGGCCGCCUACGCGCCCUUUACGCCCAGUAAAUCCGAACAACGCUCGCCCCCUUCGUAUUACCGCGGCGGCUGGCAC